CACAUGCAAAGGAAACUACGUUUUCACAACACAUGGUUGGAGAGGUCAAAGAAAAUGUGAUGUAUUACUUUCAGUUUUAUCAUCAGCGGGACCAUCUGGGGCUAGUGGUGGGGCUCGAAGAAGGAAGAAGAAAAUAAAGAAGAGAAUCAGAUCCCCAAAGUAGAGAGACUGAAUUACAGCAAUGACCUCGACUUGCAUUUACUAGACAAGGACAUUGAGGCUCAGUAAGGUGAGAUGACUUGCUCCAGAUCACACAGGGUUGAAGCUGAAAUUUUAAUCUAGAGUCCAGUUCCAGAAUCUGUGCUUAUAAACUGUGCUGUGCUGUAUUUGCUUUAAGAAUAUAAGGGUCAUUUCCUGCUUGAAUAAUCAAGGAAGGCAUGAUGGAAAAGUUAGGGGCAUCAUAAAACCCAAAGACAAUUCUGAUCAUAUUUUUACUUCAACACUUCUACAGGAAAGAAAGCCUUCCCAUCACUAAUAGUGAGUUCUCUGGCAGCAAGCCUCAGUCAUUGCAGCAGGAAUACUGCUUAAAUAUUAUACUGGUAUGUGUGGGGUAAUUUGAAGUCUACCAUCCAUCACCAUCACCACCAAACCUAAUGUAUGAGUUGCCUAUUCCUUCCCGGGAUAGCACACUGCACUACUGAGGAUCACUGUUCUAUGGAAGUAGUUUUCAAACUUGAGCAUGCAUAAAAAGAAGAGCGAAGAGGCUUGUUAAAUACAGCUCUCUUUCAGCAGGUCUGGGGUACUUACUACUAAUGAGCAGUUUUUAGGAAGCAUCCUAGAUGAUUCCGUGUAUCCAGGUGGGCCACAGAAACAUUUGCAAAAACAUUACAUCGGAGCCAUUGUUGACUAUCCCUAAUCUGUAAGAAGCCAAUAGUCAUCGAGACCCAAUGGAGCAAUGCAGCAGAAUGGGGGAAGCCCAGGGGGCAGAGUGAGGGCAUCACCAGGUGAGGAAAAGCAAGAUGGUAAGGCAGAAGGGAAUGGGGAAACCCAAACAAUGAAGAAAUAGAUAUCAUCUAUAUAUCUAUAUCUUUCAAUUUAUCUAUAUAUCCGAUUACCAACUUCAUCAGGAAAACCUAUUUCAGUUUGGUGAAUGGAAAGGGAACCAGCCAAAAAAUAGUUAUUAUUUUCAUACAUCUUAGUAUUUUAUUUUCCUAAGGACUAUCCUCAUGAAAUAUAUACAUACAUUAUACAUUUACACAUAUGCAUAUACAUAUUUGAGAAUACACACACUUUGGCUUCUUAGGCCAUCUUAGCUUUAUUUUAAAUAUAAAGAAACUGGUGCUGAUUCUGCAUAUCAUAUAUAUUUGACUAUACUUCUAUAAAGCAGAAGUCAAGAGCCAUGAUUAUUGUGCAACAGUAUCUGCACAAUUAGAAUAUUAGCAAUAGCACAGUUUUACUUUUGUUUUACAGUUUUCGAACUAUAAAUCAAGUAUGAAUGGCUGAUGGAAAGCCGAGGCUAGCAAAUAGAUGAUAAACCAUGUUACCAUGGGAGGUACAGAUUCAUUUUUAAUUUUAGUUUCUAUGUUAUCCCCAAGCAGCUUUUUUGUAUAUUGAUACGGAAAAUAAUGCCAUCUAUAUGCUGCACAACAGAAGUGUUGAUUUGUUUCUGUACCCCUUGGCUUGCAUCCCUGUUGUCAUCACCCAGCUGAUAUCAUUGUGACAUUUUGACAUUGCCUUGUGACACAGUGACCUGGUGCUUCCAGGAGCCUAGAAGGACAAGUUGACUAAGACACAUGGUGCAUUAGGAAGCAAUGAAGCAAUUCAUUACGGCUACAGAGAGAGUCUGCUCUGGAGACAAGAAUUCUUAUCUAAAGCACAAAAUACUCUCGAUUCUAUUUGCUGUUCUGCUACUGAUUUACUAUGAGAUCUGUAACAAAUAAUCUCAAUUCAUUUGUAACUUAGAUUUCCGUCUGUAAAAUGGAAAUGACCCAACAUAUGUGAUUUUUUUAAAAUCCUAGGGCAGUGAUUGCAUUUGCAACCCAUUCUUGCCAAAGAGAAAUUCGGAAGCACACUUCAAGGAACUAAGUUCAGUGAUAAUCACACUUGAUUGAUUUUCAGUACUGUCACAGUUUGAGAACUAUUUAUUGCCCUGAUUUGCUCUUUUCUCUGCCCUGUAUUAAAGAUCUUGCAUGACAG
rnacentral:lncRNA from 10 species